CAGAGGUCCCAAGCGAUGUUCGGAGUUUACUGGGCGUAAAGGGAGCGUAGGUGGCAUUCUAAGUCUGAUGUGAAAGCUCUGAGCUUAACUCAGAAAUGGCAUUAGAUACUAGUUUGCUUGAGGAUUGGAGGGGAGAUUGGAAUACUUGGUGUAGCAGUGAAAUGCGUAGAUAUCAAGUGGAACACCAGUGGCGAAGGCGAAUCUCUGGACAAUUCCUGACACUGACGCUCGAAAGCUAGGGGAGCAAACGGGAUUAGAUACCCCGGUAGUCCUAGCUGUAAACGGUGCACGCUUGCUGUAGGUGGAAUCGACCCCGCCUGUAGCGAAGCUAACGCGUUAAGCGUGCCGCCUGGGAAGUACGGUCGCAAGAUUA
rnacentral:rRNA from 1 species